CUAUACAUGCAAGUCGAACGAACUCUGGUAUUGAUUGGUGCUUGCAUCAUGAUUUACAUUUGAGUGAGUGGCGAACUGGUGAGUAACACGUGGGAAACCUGCCCAGAAGCGGGGGAUAACACCUGGAAACAGAUGCUAAUACCGCAUAACAACUUGGACCGCAUGGUCCGAGCUUGAAAGAUGGCUUCGGCUAUCACUUUUGGAUGGUCCCGCGGCGUAUUAGCUAGAUGGUGGGGUAACGGCUCACCAUGGCAAUGAUACGUAGCCGACCUGAGAGGGUAAUCGGCCACAUUGGGACUGAGACACGGCCCAAACUCCUACGGGAGGCAGCAGUAGGGAAUCUUCCACAAUGGACGAAAGUCUGAUGGAGCAACGCCGCGUGAGUGAAGAAGGGUUUCGGCUCGUAAAACUCUGUUGUUAAAGAAGAACAUAUCUGAGAGUAACUGUUCAGGUAUUGACGGUAUUUAACCAGAAAGCCACGGCUAACUACGUGCCAGCAGCCGCGGUAAUACGUAGGUGGCAAGCGUUGUCCGGAUUUAUUGGGCGUAAAGCGAGCGCAGGCGGUUUUUUAAGUCUGAUGUGAAAGCCUUCGGCUCAACCGAAGAAGUGCAUCGGAAACUGGGAAACUUGAGUGCAGAAGAGGACAGUGGAACUCCAUGUGUAGCGGUGAAAUGCGUAGAUAUAUGGAAGAACACCAGUGGCGAAGGCGGCUGUCUGGUCUGUAACUGACGCUGAGGCUCGAAAGUAUGGGUAGCAAACAGGAUUAGAUACCCUGGUAGUCCAUACCGUAAACGAUGAAUGCUAAGUGUUGGAGGGUUUCCGCCCUUCAGUGCUGCAGCUAACGCAUUAAGCAUUCCGCCUGGGGAGUACGGCCGCAAGGCUGAAACUCAAAGGAAUUGACGGGGGCCCGCACAAGCGGUGGAGCAUGUGGUUUAAUUCGAAGCUACGCGAAGAACCUUACCAGGUCUUGACAUACUAUGCAAAUCUAAGAGAUUAGACGUUCCCUUCGGGGACAUGGAUACAGGUGGUGCAUGGUUGUCGUCAGCUCGUGUCGUGAGAUGUUGGGUUAAGUCCCGCAACGAGCGCAACCCUUAUUAUCAGUUGCCAGCAUUAAGUUGGGCACUCUGGUGAGACUGCCGGUGACAAACCGGAGRAAGGUGGGGAUGACGUCAAAUCAUCAUGCCCCUUAUGACCUGGGCUACACACGUGCUACAAUGGAUGGUACAACGAGUUGCGAACUCGCGAGAGUAAGCUAAUCUCUUAAAGCCAUUCUCAGUUCGGAUUGUAGGCUGCAACUCGCCUACAUGAAGUCGGAAUCGCUAGUAAUCGCGGAUCAGCAUGCCGCGGUGAAUACGUUCCCGGGCCUUGUACACACCGCCCGUCACAACAGGAGAGUUUGUAACACCCAAAGUCGGUGGGGUAACCUUUUAGGAACCAGCCGCCUAAGGUGGAC
rnacentral:rRNA from 1 species